UUUUAAGGCUUCUGCAUGUUGUUAUCUGUUUCAGCAAUUCUCUAACUUCAAACUCAAAGAAUCCACAGAGAAAAGUGACAGUGAUAAAGGACAAGAGAUGAUUUCUCAAGUGAUGGACAAUGUAAAGCCUUGGUCUUAAGAGAUAGGCUAUUGGGCAGUUGCUGGUCCUUUAAAAAAAAAAAAAUCACAGAAUUACACAGAAUUUCAGGGGUUGGAAGGGACAUUUGGGUAUCAUUGAGUCCAACUCCUGGAUAAAGCAGGUUCCCUACAGUAGGUUGCACAGGAAAGAAGAAGAAAAAUAAGAAGAUGAAGAAAAAGAAAGGAAAUUGAAAUAGUAUCCGAAGGCACAGUCUCAGAAUAUCGUAUGAAGAGAAAAAAUAUCUGCCCAGAUAUGAUUACUCUGGAGACAAAGAUUUUCCAGGAUGCACACCCACAGAAAAGAUGAUGAUGAAUGAUCAACAAACUAACUAUUUCGCUAAGAGAAAAUCACUGUAAGAAGAGAGGUAUCUAUUGAAGCAAGUAUUCUUGUGAUUUAUCACACCACUCGUUCCUAUUGUUCACUCCUUCUACUAAAGCUAUACUAUUCCAGCAAAUCACCAGAUUUUUUUUUUCAAAUAUUAUAAGCCAUGCUUACCGACACAACAUGAAAACCACAACCACAAUGAAAGGCUUCAGUGCUGUAGAACGUCACUUAAUGAUGUGUGCAUGCCUGCUAAAGAUGGAGCAAAAGCUGAGAAUAUUUGUCUAACCAUUAAUUUUUAGAAUUACUGAAAAGCAGUUUCAAAUUCACUAAGAAUCACAACACUGACUUGAAAAGGAAUCCGGACAAGAGUCUUACCGUCACCAUGGAUACAAGUAGUGUGGACUCAGGGUUUAAGCAAUGAAACUAGAACUUCGUAUUUAUACUGCUGGAAGGACUAGCUCGCAUAAUAUUAAGAACAUUUAGAAUGAGUCCUAUUAUAGAAAAAGUUGUAAUUAAAAUGCAGGACAAUUCCUGCUCUUUCGUUUAAUUUUGUUGGAGUACAAGAAUCACACAAUUACUCAAGCUUACUUCACAUUUAUGCUUGUGUGGUGGCUUGUGACGUCAACAAAUGUAAUACAGUGGAGAAGUAAGCUGGUAGUGAUGCUCUGGAUGCAAAAUAACGGUGUGAUUUUUUUAUAUAUUUUGAG
ensembl:lncRNA